rnacentral:rRNA from 1 species
UACGGAGGGUGCGAGCGUUAAUCGGAAUAACUGGGCGUAAAGAGCUCGUAGGCGGUUUGUCAAGUCAGAUGUGAAAGCCCCGGGCUUAACCUGGGAACCGCAUUUGAAACUGACAGACUAGAGUACUGUAGAGGGAGGUAGAAUUCCAGGUGUAGCGGUGAAAUGCGUAGAUAUCUGGAGGAAUACCGGUGGCGAAGGCGGCCUCCUGGACAGAGACUGACGCUGAGGAGCGAAAGCGUGGGGAGCAAAC